ensembl:lncRNA
GUGCGAGGGAGAGGGCACAGUUCUCCAAGGGAUUUGCAGACUCGAGCUACAAUUCACAUUUUUUCCUCUGUUGCUGUUCAGUCGCUCAGUCAUGUCUGACUUUGAGACCCCAUGGAUUGCAGCACGUCAGGCUUCUCUGUCCUUCACCAUCUCCUGGAGUUUGUUCAAACUCAUGUCCAUUGAUUACACAUCAGAAAGAAGGCCACAGAGACACGGAAUUGCCAGACUCAAUUACUGUGUUACUGACACCAGCCUGUGACUGUCUUUGAAAUAAUGCAAGAGGAAGAAAUCAAGAUGCUAUCAUCUUUGUUCCUUGUCACUGAUUCCUGACAGCCAGCCCUUGCCUUAUGUAAGCCCCUAGACUCCUCAUGGAGGGGUCAGUUCUUGAGGCCUGAGCCUACGCUGUUCCCCUCUCCACCCGCUGAGGACUAAAGCCACCUUUCUAUUUCCUCCAAACUCUCCG